rnacentral:rRNA from 1 species
GACGAACGCUGGCGGCGUGCUUAACACAUGCAAGUCGAGCGGAAAGGCCCUUCGGGGUUCUCGAGCGGCGAACGGGUGAGUAACACGUGAGUAACCUGCCCCAGACUUUGGGAUAACCCUCGGAAACGGGGGCUAAUACCGGAUACGACACAGCUUCGCAUGGGGUCUGUGUGGAAAGUUUUUCGGUUUGGGAUGGGCUCGCGGCCUAUCAGCUUGUUGGUGGGGUGUUGGCCUACCAAGGCGACGACGGGUAGCCGGCCUGAGAGGGCGACCGGCCACACUGGGACUGACACACGGCCCAGACUCCUACGGGAGGCAGCAGUGGGGAAUAUUGCACAAUGGGCGGAAGCCUGAUGCAGCGACGCCGCGUGAGGGAUGACGGCCUUCGGGUUGUAAACCUCUUUCAGCAGGGACGAAGCGUAAGUGACGGUACCUGCAGAAGAAGCGCCGGCCAACUACGUG